rnacentral:rRNA from 1 species
CGGAGGGUGCAAGCGUUAUCCGGAUUCACUGGGUUUAAAGGGUGCGUAGGCGGGCAGGUAAGUCCGUGGUGAAAUCUCUGAGCUUAACUCAGAAACUGCCAUGGAUACUAUUUGUCUUGAAUAUUGUGGAGGUAAGCGGAAUAUGUCAUGUAGUGGUGAAAUGCUUAGAUAUGACAUAGAACACCAAUUGCGAAGGCAGCUUACUACACAGUUAUUGACGCUGAGGCACGAAAGCGUGGGGAUCAAACAGGAUUAGAUACCCUGGUAGUCCACGCCCUAAACGAUGAUUACUCGACAUCAGCGAUACACUGUUGGUGUCUGAGCGAAAGCAUUAAGUAAUCCACCUGGGAAGUACGAUCGCAAGAUUG